UAUAGAAAGUCCAGUUGAAGCCCCAAUCUGAUCGGUCUUCUAGGGAGUGCUAGCUCAUGCGAAGACCUUCUUCUUGGCUAAUUUAGUCUUUUUUUUUAAAUCUCUGGGACCUUUCUAGAGGUUGAAGAUGGACUUAUAGAGGAGAUGAAGAGGUGAAAGAAAGAUGGAGAAGGAAAUAAGUUUCUUCUUAUUUUUUCUCUCUUCUC
rnacentral:lncRNA from 1 species